AUGGGAGAUGCAUGCAGGCUGGACGAGGGAGCCACAGAGAAACAGAGUGUAGGCCUGGCAGUUGGCAUUGAUCUUGGCAUCACUUACUCAUGCAUGGGUCUCUUACAGCAUGGGAAAGUGGAAAUCAUUGCGAAUGACCAGGGGAACUGAACCACACUGAGCUAUGUUGCUUCUACUGACACAAAACGAUUGAUCAGUGAUGCCACAAAGAAUCAGGUUGCUGUGAACCUCACAAACACAGUGUUUGAUGCCAAACAUCUCAUCGGGCACAGGUUUGAUGAUGCUGUUGUUCAGUCUGAUGUGACGCACCGGCCCUCCAUGGUGGUGAACAAUGUAGGCAGGUCCAGGAUCCAAGUGGGAUGCAAAGGAGAGACCAAAAGCUUCUGUCCAGAAGAGCGGUCCUCUGUGGUUCUAAGAAAGAUGCAGGACAUUGCAGAAGUCUACCUUGGCAGGACUGUUACCAACACUGUGGUCAAGGGGCAAUGCAACCAAAGAUGUUGGAACCAUCGCUGGCCUCCAUGUACUUAGACUUAUCGAUGAACCAACUGCUGCUGCUGUUGCUCACGGCUUAGACAAGAAGGUUGGAGCAGAGAGAAAUGUGCUGAUUGUUUUAUUUGGGAGGUGGCACUUCGAUGUGUCAAUCCUCACUAUUGAGGAUGGAGUUUUGAGGUCAAAUCUGCAGCUGGAGGCGCCUACUUGGGUGGAGGAGACUUUGAUAACUAGAUGGUCAACCACUUCACUGUCAAGUUUAAGCGCAAGCACAAGAAGGACAUCAGUGAAAGCAAGAGAGCUGUCCGCCGUCUCUGCACCGGUUGUGAGCCGGCUAAGCGCACCCUCUCCUCCAGCACCCAGGCCCGUAUUGAGAUUAAUUCUCUCUACAAGGAAAUCGACUUCUACACCUCUGUUACCCGGGCUCGAUUUGAAGAGCUGAAUGCUGACUGUUCCAUGGCACUCUGGACCCUGUAGAAAAAGGCCUUCAAGACGCCAAACUAGAUAAGUCAUGGGUCCAAUGUAUUUUUCUGGCAGGUGGUUCCACCUGUAUCCCCAGGAUUCAGAAGCUUCUGCAAGACUUCUUCCACGGAAAAGAACUGAAUAGGAGCAUUAACCCCAAUGAAGCUGUUGCUUAUGGUGCAGCUGUCCAGGCCGCCAGUCUGUCUGGAGACAAGUCUGAAAAUGUUCAAUAGUCGCUGCUCGUGGAUGUCUCUCCUCUUUCCCUUGGUAUUGAAACAGCCGGUGGAGUCGUGACUGUGUCAUUAAGCACAAUACUACCAUUCCUACCAAGCAGACAGACCAUCACUACCCACUCUGACACCCAGCCUGGUGUGCUCAUUCAGGUAUAUGAAUGUGAGAGAGCCAUGACCAAGGGUAACAACCUGCUUGGGAAGUUUGAACUCACAGGCAUACCUCCUGUACCCUGAGGUGUUCCACAGAUUGAAGUCACCUUCGAUAUUGAUGCCAUGGUAUCCUCAAUGUGUCUGCUGCAGAUAAGAGUACAGGAAAAGAAAACAAGAUGACAUCACUUAACGACAAAGGCUGCUUGAGCACAGAGGACACUGAGCCAUGGUCCAGGAAGCUGAGAUGUACAAAGCUGAAGAUGAGAAGCAGAGAGACAAAGUAUCCUUCAAGAACUCACUGGAGUCCUAUGCAUUCAACAUGAAAGUGACCCUCGAAGAUGAGAAACUUCAAGGCAAGAUCAGUGAUGAGGAUAAACAGAAGAUCCUGGACAAGUGUAAUGAACUCAUCAGUUGUCUGGAUAAGAAUCAGACUGCUGAGAAGGAAGAAUUUGAGCACCAGCGGAAAGAGCUGGAGAAAGUCUGCAACCCCAGCAUCGCCAAGCUGUACCAGAGUGCUGGUGUCGUCUGUUCCCGCCCUGCCCCUCCCCGCGAGGAGGAAUGCCUGGGGGCUUCCCUGGUAGUGGAGCACCUCCCUCUGGUGGUGCUUCUUCAGGGCCCACCAACGAAGAGGUUGAUUAAAGUCAAUCCAAGCAGAGAUGUAGCACUAUUGCACAAUAAAAUAUUUUGAAGG